rnacentral:rRNA from 1 species
UACGGAGGGAGCUAGCGUUAUUCGGAAUUACUGGGCGUAAAGCGUACGUAGGCGGCUUUGUAAGUUAGAGGUGAAAGCCUGGAGCUCAACUCCAGAACUGCCUUUAAAACUGCAUCGCUUGAAUCCAGGAGAGGUGAGUGGAAUUCCGAGUGUAGAGGUGAAAUUCGUAGAUAUUCGGAAGAACACCAGUGGCGAAGGCGGCUCACUGGACUGGUAUUGACGCUGAGGUACGGAAAGCGAUGGGGGAGCCAAACAGGGA